GAUUCCCCCAGUAGCGGCGAGCGAACGGGGAGGAGCCCAGAGCCUGAAUCAGCAUGUGUGUUAGUGGAAGCGUCUGGAAAGGCGCGCGAUACAGGGUGACAGCCCCGUACACAAAAGCGCAUGUGCUGUGAGCUCGAUGAGUAGGGCGGGACACGUGGUAUCCUGUCUGAAUAUGGGGGGACCAUCCUCCAAGGCUAAAUACUCCUGACUGACCGAUAGUGAACCAGUACCGUGAGGGAAAGGCGAAAAGAACCCCGGCGAGGGGAGUGAAAAAGAACCUGAAACCGUGUACGUACAAGCAGUGGGAGCACAGGUUUACCUGUGUGACUGCGUACCUUUUGUAUAAUGGGUCAGCGACUUAUAUUCUGUAGCAAGGUUAACCGUAUAGGGGAGCCGGAGGGAAACCGAGUCUUAAUUGGGCGUUAAGUUGCAGGGUAUAGACCCGAAACCCGGUGAUCUAGCCAUGGGCAGGUUGAAGGUUGGGUAACACUAACUGGAGGACCGAACCGACUAAUGUUGAAAAAUUAGCGGAUGACCUGUGGCUGGGGGUGAAAGGCCAAUCAAACCGGGAGAUAGCUGGUUCUCCCCGAAAGCUAUUUAGGUAGCGCCUCGUGAAUUCAUCUCCGGGGGUAGAGCACUGUUUCGGCUAGGGGGCCAUCCCGGCUUACCAACCCGAUGCAAACUGCGAAUACCGGAGAAUGUUAUCACGGGAGACACACGGCGGGUGCUAACGUCCGUCGUGAAGAGGGAAACAACCCAGACCGCCAGCUAAGGUCCCAAAGUCAUGGUUAAGUGGGAAACGAUGUGGGAAGGCCCAGACAGCCAGGAUGUUGGCUUAGAAGCAGCCAUCAUUUAAAGAAAGCGUAAUAGCUCACUGGUCGAGUCGGCCUGCGCGGAAGAUGUAACGGGGCUAAACCAUGCACCGAAGCUGCGGCAGCGACGCUUAUGCGUUGUUGGGUAGGGGAGCG
rnacentral:rRNA from 1 species